AUUGAACGCUGGCGGCAUGCCUUACACAUGCAAGUCGAACGGUAACGGGCCUUCGGGUGCCGACGAGUGGCGAACGGGUGAGUAAUACAUCGGAACGUGCCCGAUCGUGGGGGAUAAGGGGUGAAAGCCUUGGUAAUAACCCAAUACGACCUAGGAUGAAAACCGGGGGACGCAAGGGCUUUGCCGGGCGGAGCGGGCCAUGGCGGAUUUGGUAGUUGGUGGGAUAAAAGCUUACCAAGCCGACGAUCUGUAGCUGGUCUGAGAGGAUGAUCAGCCACACUGGGACUGAGACACGGCCCAGACUCCUACGGGAGGCAGCAGUGGGGAAUUUUGGACAAUGGGCGCAAGCCUGAUCCAGCCAUGCCGCGUGCAGGAUGAAGGCCUUCGGGUUGUAAACUGCUUUUGUACGGAACGAAAAGCCUUCUUUUAAUACAGGAGGGUCAUGACGGUACCGUAAGAAUAAGCACCGGCUAACUACGUG
rnacentral:rRNA from 1 species